rnacentral:rRNA from 1 species
GGCCAGACUCCUACGGGAGGCAGCAGUGGGGAAUAUUGCACAAUGGGGGAAACCCUGAUGCAGCGACGCCGCGUGAGUGAAGAAGUAUUUCGGUAUGUAAAGCUCUAUCAGCAGGGAAGAAAUAGCGACCUUUGGGUCGCCAGACGGUACCUGAUUAAGAAGCCCCGGCUAACUACGUGCCAGCAGCCGCGGUAAUACGUAGGGGGCAAGCGUUAUCCGGAAUUACUGGGUGUAAAGGGAGCGUAGACGGGAGUGGAAGUCUGAAGAGAAGGGCGGGGGCUCAACCCCUGGACUGCAUUGGAAACUGUAAAUCUUGAGUGCCGGAGAGGGAAGCGGAAUUCCUAGUGUAGCGGUGAAAUGCGUAGAUAUUAGGAGGAACACCAGUGGCGAAGGCGGCUUACUGGACGGUAACUGACGUUGAGGCGCGAAAGCGUGGGGAGCAAACAGGAUUAGAUACCC